rnacentral:rRNA from 1 species
AUGAUAACUAGGGAGGAGGAGAGGAUUAUUGGAGAUGUGGAGGACAAGCAGGUGCUAGCUAAGAUCACCAUGGAUGACAGGAAGAGAUCCAUGAGCGGGAGGACGCUGGACCUCAAUGAAGGCAUCGAUAUGGAGAGCGAUGAUGGAGAAGUCGGCGACGACAACGAUGAAGAGGAGGAGGAUGGAGGUAGCACCACCGAUGUUGCCGGGAGCCGGAGCUCCAGCAACAACAGCAGCACCAACCAUGCUUCGGAGACCCAACAGGGUACCGGGGCCGGCGAGCAUAGGGUGCGGCAGUACAACCGAUCGAAGCUGCCUCGGCUCCGGUGGACGCCCGAUCUUCACAUGGCCUUCAUACGCGCCGUCGAGAGGCUUGGUGGACAAGAGAGAGCUACUCCUAAGCUGGUGCUUCAGAUGAUGAAUGUUAGGGGGCUCAGUAUUGCUCAUGUGAAAAGCCAUCUGCAGAUGUACCGAAGCAAGAAGCUAGACCACCACGGUCAACGGAUCAGGGGAGCCAUCUCCUCAGUAUUUUCACCUAUGGAUUUCCACUCAAUGAGAGGCGAUCGACGCUUUCAUGACAUGCUCCUCCAAAGAGCUGCCGCCCUCUCCUCAACGGCGGAGCGCGGCGGCUUCUUCGUGUCACGGAACGGCGGCGGCGGAGGAGGGAACACCAAUAGCCGCCUCUACGGGAUUCUCCAACACCAACACCGGCCAUCUCCGAUGCAAUCUGGCUUCAAGAACGGCAGUUUCAGGAAUCAAGACUGGGCGUUCGACCACCGUGACAUGAUGGCCAGGAAUGAUGUGAAGGCCUCCUCGACCACGUCGCACUUCUUCGCGUCCUCGUCGGUAAGGAGGUGGCCAUUAACCUCCGCAGUUGCGGGAGCCGGCGAGCAAAGGCGAGAUGAGAGCUUUGGUUACUUUACCGGCCACGGCUCUGGGCCGCUCUCAAGGGCCAUGGCAGUGGCACCGGCGACGUCGGUCGUGCCAGGAGAAGGUAACCAUCGUCUCCCGUUUAGAUGGCACGGUGGCGAUGGCGGCAAGGUUGCUAAGGCCAUAUCGUCAGAUCCCGUGAUGAUCGUCGAAGCCCUAGAUUCCCAGAAGCAGAAGCAUCUUGAGCAACAGAGGGCUCUGAUGACACCAGCCGACAAGGUACGGCUUCCGGUAGAGACGCCGGAGUUGGAGCUCAGCUUAUCUCCAGCCACGGCAAUCGACGCCACAGAUGGGACACCGAGCAAGAAGAGGAAGAAGAGCACUGCUGCAUCGAGCGAGCAAGAGCUGGAACAUGCCAACAAGCUGUCGAUCUCGCUCUCGCUCAUGCCACCUGCAGCUUCCGUGCCCAUGCAGCGGCAGGAAAAGACAAGAGGGGGCAGCGUGGAGGCCGUUCUGGGGCAGAGUACUUUGGAUCUGACCAUGUCGAUCAAGGCAUUGGAGUGA